rnacentral:rRNA from 1 species
UACGUAGGGGGCAAGCGUUGUCCGGAAUCAUUGGGCGUAAAGAGCGUGUAGGCGGCUCGGUAAGUCCGCUGUGAAAGUCCAGGGCUCAACCCUGGAAUGCCGGUGGAAACUGUCGGGCUAGAGUCCGGAAGAGGCGAGUGGAAUUCCUGGUGUAGCGGUGAAAUGCGCAGAUAUCAGGAGGAACACCAAUUGCGAAGGCAGCUCGCUGGGACGUUACUGACGCUGAGACGCGAAAGCGUGGGGAGCAAACAGG